AGAGUUUGAUUAUGGCUCAGGAUGAACGCUGGCGGCGUGCCUAACACAUGCAAGUCGAACGGGGUAUAUAAGCGGAAGUUUACGGAUGGAAGGUUAUAUACUUAGUGGCGGACGGGUGAGUAACGCGUGGGCAACCUGCCCCGUGCCGGGGGAUACCGCCUGGAAACAGGCGCUAAUACCGCAUAAGCGCAUACAGCCGCAUGGCAGUAUGCGGAAAGCUCCGGCGGCACGGGAUGGGCCCGCGCCCGAUUAGCCAGUUGGCGGGGUAACGGCCCACCAAAGCGACGAUCGGUAGCCGGCCUGAGAGGGCGGACGGCCACAUUGGGACUGAGACACGGCCCAAACUCCUACGGGAGGCAGCAGUGGGGAAUAUUGCACAAUGGGGGAAACCCUGAUGCAGCAACGCCGCGUGGGUGAAGGAGCGUUUCGGCGCGUAAAGCCCUGUCAGCGGGGAAGAAGAAAGACGGUACCCGACCAAGAAGCCCCGGCUAACUACGUGCCAGCAGCCGCGGUAAUACGUAGGGGGCGAGCGUUAUCCGGAAUUACUGGGUGUAAAGGGAGCGU
rnacentral:rRNA from 1 species